AGCCCUCAAAGCACCAAAGCCGUGAGCUUCCUAGAGGAGUGACUGCUGCUUUCCUGAGGGAGCCAAAGACAACAUCUCUCAGCCUUUAGCUCUCUACCCUCCUGUGGUGGCUCAACAUGUCUUCAAGUCACCCAGGGCCUGGCCCUUCCGGAUCAAGAGGAGUCCCUCCUGUGCCGAAACCCCACAAUCCAUUGGUUCCUGUUCCAGAGAAACCUUGGCCUGUGGGACCACCCAAGCCUGAAGGUCCUCAACCACUGGGGCCUUUGGUGCCUGGGAAGCCGUGGCCAGAAGGCCCCCCUACAUCUCCUGAUCCUGGACGCCCAAGGUCCCCACAACCACCAACACCUUUAGGCCCUAACAAACCACAACCGUUUCCUGGACCAUCCAGUCCUCCUAAGCCACCACUGCCUGAUGAUCCUUUUCUACCAUCUCCUCUGAUGCCUGUUGCUCCUUGGCCACCACUGCCAGAGUGGGAUGAUUCAGGGAAACCUCCUAAACAACCCUCUGAUGAGGAUUAAUUUUUACACAGCCAGGUUCUCCAGGGUUCUCCUGCGGCUGAUAUAGAACCAUACCUUCUAUUUACCACACACAUGUGCAUUUCGGUGUCAGCAAUGAGUAUUCCAAGUCCAGACUGGCUCCUGUUGUAAAUCUUUCCUGAAUAGCUCUUGGAAGUUGAGUGACAACUGGAAAAAGAAGAUAACUCACCCUGUCAUUGAAGAUACAAUUCAGCUUUGGUGAAUUGCAGAGCAAAUUCCAGCUACCGUUUAAUCGAACUAUCCUGUAAUGUUGCAUUUUUACCUGAAGUGCAGUUAUGUCUAUUUGUUUAUAUGAUACAUGUAUACGUUAUCUGUCUCUCUCUACCUACCUACCCAGAAGUCUAUCAAGAACUAUUUUCUGUAGUAUGCCACCCACUUGAUUACAAGCGGGAAGACAAUUCUGACUGCUUCUAGCAUAAUAAAGAAACUCCAAAUAAAAUAUUUGCAUUAGAAAUA